CCUACGGGAGGCAGCAGUGGGGAAUAUUGGGCAAUGUGCGCAAGCCUGACCCAGCAACGCCGCGUGAAGGCAGAAGGCUUUCGGGUUGUAACCUUCUUUUGUCAGGGAAGAGUAGAAGACGGUACCUGACGAAUAAGCCACGGCUAACUACGUGCCAGCAGCCGCGGUAAUACGUAGGUGGCAAGCGUUGUCCGGAUUUACUGGGUGUAAAGGGCGUGUAGCCGGGUUGACAAGUCAGCUGUGAAAUCCUGCGGCUUAACCGCAGAACUGCAUUUGAAACUGUUGAUCUUGAGUACUGGAGAGGCAGAUGGAAUUCCUAGUGUAGCGGUGAAAUGCGUAGAUAUUAGGAGGAACACCAGUGGCGAAGGCGGUCUGCUGGACAGCAACUGACGGUGAGGCGCGAAAGCGUGGGGAGCAAACAGGAUUAGAUACCCCUGUAGUC
rnacentral:rRNA from 1 species